rnacentral:misc_RNA from 1 species
GAUGAAGAACGUAGCGAAAUGCGAUAAGUAAUGCGAAUUGCAGAAUCUCCGUGAGUCAUCGAAUCUUUGAACGCACAUUGCGCCCACUGGUAUUCCGGUGGGCAUGCCUGUUCGAGCGUCAUUAUCCUCCCUCAAACCUCGGGUUUGGUGUUGGACCCAAGUUGUGUGAACAACUGGUCUCAAAGACAAUGACGGCGUCCGUGGGACCCUCGGUGCAACGAGCUUUUAGGAGCACGCGUCGAGUUUCAAGGACCUUCCGGGCCGGUCUCCUUUACUAUUUUUACAAGGUUGACCUCGGAUCAGGUAGGAAUACCCGCUGAACUUAAGCAUAUCAAUAAGCGGAGGA